rnacentral:lncRNA from 1 species
UUCACCAUGUGGAAGUGGCAUUCAUUGUCCAUCAUCACACUUCAACACCAUGUACUGUUUGCCUCGUUGCAUGAGACUGUUGACUGAAAAGCUCUAAACUGAUUCAAAAAUUUCAGGUUAUUUGGGAAAAAAUGACCUGGAGAUUAAUUCUCAAUAUGUAGUUUCUACAUAUUCAAUAUCUUCUGUUAAACCAGAGUCAAGUCUGUACAAGAAAUUGUGCUAAAUUGAAAUGCUUUUCCCUUUUGAUAAUAGUUUCUUUUUUCUUUUGCAUUAUGACAGGUAAUGAACUCUGAAGUGAUACGCUUAGGGAGUAUGGACGUGAUGAUCAAAUCCUGCCAACUGCAUACUGACAUAUUGCCACGGUGAAGUGCAACUAGAUCACAGCAGCAACUGAUGCAUUGGUGGCCUCCUGCUCCACCAUCUUCCCAAAAAACCUCAAUAGUUGCUGUUUUUAAGGAAGAUGGCAGAAGACCGUUUGCUUUGAGACUACCUCCCUUGUCGGCUAAAGUGCCCAGAGGCCAGAUACAAGGCACUGACUGAGUCUUUGAUCACCAUGGUCACACCAAGGCAACGGCUUCCAGAUUUGGAUUCAAAGUCAUUACAGGGGCACCAACCAAGGAUAGGUCGUAGAUGCUGUGGAAUGGGUGGAGCACACGUUAGUUGAUGAGCACAUCCACUGACAUCUCCAUGGCAACACACCUCAAGUAAUGACACCUACUUUGAAGUUCCACCAGGCAGCUUGAUUGCAGUUAUUCAAAAGACUGUCAGAAAAUGUUGCAUAAAAACCCAUUUAAAGAUUUGAUGAUGGUUAGUUAGCAAUAUUGGUUCUUGAAAACUCUGCCCUAAACCUGAAUGGUCUCCAAUAGAUCGAUAUAGCCACAUACUACAACUUUCUUCUGACUGUUUAAAAUACCAGGUUCAAUGCAAUAUUAUGAUCUAUUUUAUUCCCCAAAUUGAAUUUGUAACCAUGUUAUUUUGUAAACGCAUUGGCUUUGACCUCAAAACU